rnacentral:rRNA from 1 species
UGGCGGCAGGCCUAACACAUGCAAGUCGAGCGGUAGAGAGAAGCUUGCUCCUCUUGAGAGCGGCGGACGGGUGAGUAAUGCCUAGGAAUCUGCCUGGUAGUGGGGGAUAACGUUCGGAAACGGACGCUAAUACCGCAUACGUCCUACGGGAGAAAGCAGGGGACCUUCGGGCCUUGCGCUAUCAGAUGAGCCUAGGUCGGAUUAGCUAGUUGGUGAGGUAAUGGCUCACCAAGGCGACGAUCCGUAACUGGUCUGAGAGGAUGAUCAGUCACACUGGAACUGAGACACGGUCCAGACUCCUACGGGAGGCAGCAGUGGGGAAUAUUGGACAAUGGGCGAAAGCCUGAUCCAGCCAUGCCGCGUGUGUGAAGAAGGUCUUCGGAUUGUAAAGCACUUUAAGUUGGGAGGAAGGGUUGUAGAUUAAUACUCUGCAAUUUUGACGUUACCGACAGAAUAAGCACCGGCUAACUCUGUGCCAGCAGCCGCGGUAAUACAGAGGGUGCAAGCGUUAAUCGGAAUUACUGGGCGUAAAGCGCGCGUAGGUGGUUUGUUAAGUUGGAUGUGAAAUCCCCGGGCUCAACCUGGGAACUGCAUUCAAAACUGACUGACUAGAGUAUGGUAGAGGGUGGUGGAAUUUCCUGUGUAGCGGUGAAAUGCGUAGAUAUAGGAAGGAACACCAGUGGCGAAGGCGACCACCUGGACUAAUACUGACACUGAGGUGCGAAAGCGUGGGGAGCAAAC